rnacentral:rRNA from 1 species
GAUGAACGCUGGCGGCGUGCCUAAUACAUGCAAGUCGAGCGAACAGACGAGGAGCUUGCUCCUCUGACGUUAGCGGCGGACGGGUGAGUAACACGUGGAUAACCUACCUAUCAGACUGGGAUAACUUCGGGAAACCGGAGCUAAUACCGGAUAAUAUAUUGAACCGCAUGGUUCAAUAGUGAAAGACGGUUUUGCUGUCACUUAUAGAUGGAUCCGCGCCGCAUUAGCUAGUUGGUAAGGUAACGGCUUACCAAGGCAACGAUGCGUAGCCGACCUGAGAGGGUGAUCGGCCACACUGGAACUGAGACACGGUCCAGACUCCUACGGGAGGCAGCAGUAGGGAAUCUUCCGCAAGGGGCGAAAGCCUGACGGAGCAACGCCGCGUGAGUGAUGAAGGUCUUCGGAUCGUAAAACUCUGUUAUUAGGGAAGAACAAAUGUGUAAGUAACUAUGCACGUCUUGACGGUACCUAAUCAGAGAGCCACGGCUAACUACGUG